UAAAAUAUCCUCCUAUAAUAACCUUUGCUUCUGGAUAGUCCUCGAUUUAUAGCCUUUCAAAGUUACAAUGGCACUGAAUAAAGUGGCUUACAACUCUU